AUGACCUGGACCAAAGCUGAGGAAACCUGUUCAGCUGAAAGAGCAGGAAGUCACCUAACCAGCAUCACUAGUGAAGAAGAGAAUGAAUUCCUUCGUAAACUUUCUCAGGGACAAAAGGAAACCAAGCUCUGGACAGGUGGAACUUACCAAAAGGCAAGUGUGCCAGGACCGGUAAUGAAAACAAGCAUCAGUCAAAAGACCUUUAUAACUCAACUGACCAAAAAUGUCUACUAGAAUUUUUUUAUUUUUUUCCCCAAGGGAAUAGUUUCCGUUUGUAACAAGGGAAGAUCUUUUCAGUCUCAGCAAAACUAAAGAUGUAUCAAAAAGUCAUGCUUUUUAUCCUUCAGUGAUCUGGGGGGCUGGGGAUAGAGGAAGAUGGGAGUUCGAGGAAAAAAAGUUGAAGUGAUAAACUCUGAUCAACAUCAUAUUCCAAUUAUAUUCCACCUAAAGAACGAGAGCUGAGAUACAAAUCUCAAAGGAGAAGUGGAUAAAUCCACCACUGGAUGGUGGAUAAUAACUUCUCUCUUUAAUUUCUGUUUAGCAGAAUGUCAGGGUAGUAGACUGGACUUGGUGUUAUAAAAAGCUUGGAUGGAUAUAUUCAUUCAGAUCUUUUAAUGAAUUCCUUCAGAGUGUUUUCUCACCAAUAUUCUAGACAAUGAACCUAGCAGAGCUUUUGCUGAUAUGGUGAAUAUAACAUUAGUAAAAUUGGUAAAAGCAAGUGAAUUUCAGAUAUGUAAGUGCAUGUUGGAAAUAGAAAUUUUAUUCUGUAAAUUUUACACAUGCAACAGGGCAUAUCAAUGACCUGUGUGUCCAUCCAGAAUGUCUCAAAUUCUGAGUGUCACUUACCUGCAGUGAAUUAGUCAUGAGUGAUAUAGUCUAUUCUGAAUUACAAAUAUAUUCAAGAAAAUUAUGAUUUAUUUGAGGACAAUUCAUAUAGAGAAGAUGAGGUGAAAUUAAUCUAACAUGGAAUUAAAAAUUAAUUAUUCAUGCAGCUCUACAGAACAAUGAUAUCCCCACAAGCGAUAACUGUUUCUAAGUCCAUGUGGAAGAGGGCCCCUGUUCAGUCCUUUUUCCAUCCCAGCAAAUAUAAAAGUGUGCCAAACUGCUUUCAGAAUUUAACUGCUACCUGCAGUUCCCAUUAAUCUUCUGGAGUUAUUUUUUUUUGUCUGCAGGGGUCAUUGUUGAAAUGGAGUGAUGGAUCUCUGACAACCUUCAUCCAGAGGCCUCUGUUAUCCAUUUUCAGUUCUGUUAGAAGACUAAUUAACAGUCUGUUUAACAUAAAAUUUUGCUUGAGCCUCAAUAUUGGAGGUAAGGAAAAUCUAAGAUGAUUUAUGACUCACACAGUUUACUUUGCUCUUGAACCUCUGCUAUUCCAGUGGAUAGACUAUUUCCAGGAUUAGCUACAGAAAACAACAUCUUAUUAAAAUGUUGCCCAGACCUGCAAUGUACAUACUAUGGAAACACAAAUGAAAAGAAAAUUAAAUUUCCAGGUGCUGAACUGAGAUUAAAUGAUUCCACGUAAGGAGUGAAAUAGUUCUCUUAUCAUAUCUUCUGCCUUUCCUUUGUUAUCACUCUUGGUCUUUGUUUCCAGGAGGGGGUGAAUGGGAUGGCUCUAACUGCAGCAAUAAGCUACCAUUCAUCUGCGUUUACAAACCAAACCUGAAGCACCCUUAACCUAUCACUGAACUACUGAUGAAACCUGACUGGCUGCUGUGGCACUUGGAAUAGAGUUCAGCUGCAAUCCAUUAGUGCAUUGAAAUCCUUUGCAUGGAAAAAUCAAGAUCCAAUACUAAAAAAGCAGAAGUAUUAGAGCAAGUUACUUUUAUGUUCUGUUUGCAUUAUUGUGGUGAUGUUCCUGUAGACUAUCUCUAAAAUGAUCCCAUAAAAAUAAAUUCUGAUUUGAUUUGAAUGCUUGAUGAAAU
rnacentral:lncRNA from 1 species